rnacentral:tRNA from 1 species
AGUCCUGGGGAGGAACGUUUUUCCCUCUUUUCUGGUUUACAAGACCAGGGUGAUGUGCGAUGGG